UUAUGCAGUAUUAUGCUAUAUUACGUUGGUAUGGCCAUCGACAGAAAAUUUAUGUGUUUUUUAUGAAUUAUGAAGGUAUUAUGCAGUAUUAUGCAGUAUUAUGCGAUAUUACGUUUGUUAUGGAUUAUUGACAGAAAAAAUAUGUAUUUGUUAUGUAGCGAUAGAGAGUAUUAUGAAGGGAUUAUGCAGUAUUAUGCGAUAUUACAUUGGUAUGGCCAUCGACAGAAAAAAUAUGUAUUUUUUAUGUAACGACAGAGAGUAUUAUGAAGGUAUUAUGCAGUAUUAUGCGAUAUUACGUUAGUAUGGCCAUCGACAGAAAAUUUAUGUGUUUUUUAUGAAUUAUGAAGGUAUUAUGCAGUAUUAUGCAGUGUUAUGCGAUAUUACGUUGGUUAUGGAUUAUUGACAGAAAAAAUAUGUAUUUGUUAUGUAGCGACAGAGAGUAUUAUGAAGGUUUUAUGCAGUAUUAUGCGAUAUUACGUUGGUAAGACCAUCGACAGAAAAAAUAUGUAUUUGUUAUAUAGAGAGGAUGUCGGAUAAUGCGGUUUCAUUUGUCGGGUCCAUUUGGUUGGAGAAGUAUGACUGAACGUCUGUCGGCUUUUUAUGUCGAUAAAGUAUGAAGGUUGUUAGUUAUGUUGUACGUCGUGUGUCGGGACCACUUAGCCCGGUGCUAAAUGAAGUCGUUGCCGAAUUUCUCUCUGUAAGUGUAACUCUUUUGUCAAACUAUUUUAGAAUUCUAACAUUCGAAUGUUUUUAAAUUUUGUAAACAUUGUCAAAGCAACUAAAACAAUUAAGUCGAAGUUGCGCUGGAAACAAUGCAAGAAAUUCGCUCUUUUGUGUUGAAAAUAAAAAGCCCAGGAGCAGGUUGAAAACCUAAAAAAACUUUGUAACGGACUUUUUCUCACAAACAGCUUUUAAAUUUACCUGUCUUUUUUCACAUUUUACCAAAAUUUCGAAACCUCGAACUCUCGAUAGGUCGAAGUUUAUAUUAAGGUCCGGUGAAGGUUCGAGUUCUCGAGAGUCAACUGUACUAUUUUUAUUAUAUUGUAUCCUAAAUUUGCUUCCUACAUUACUGGUACUAGAAAUAAAAAAAAACUUAUUAUUUUUGUGUAUAUUGAAUUAAAUAUGCCGUCAGACGUGAGUAAAUAUUUUAAAGUAUUAUUGCACAAAGCUUGAAAGUGAGCAUUAAAUAGUAUGUACAGCAGCUUUUUAAUAAUUGCAAGGGAGUACCGCUCAACCCGUAUGUUCUAUUUAGUUAAUUUAAACUAAACGCUCAACCCGCUGACAAGACAUGCGUGACUACAAAGAAAAGGAAAAAAUAAUGCAAGAGAUGACAUUAAUUAAUACGAUCAACUCUUCAAGAAAGGUAACUGGACGAUCGUUUUGCAUUUUUCGCCGAAACCACUAACAUCGUUCCAGUCAUCAUGACGUAAGACGUUUUGAAACCUGCAGCCAAUUAACCGCAAGAAGCUUUCCGAUGAUCUCUAGCACAAAGUCUUCACAAACAAAUAGUUGGAAACAAAUCCCUUCGAGGCUCGUUGGUGAUUGCGCCAAAUUCGUUAAUUAAUAUUUCGGUGUUAUCAAAAAUAUUUCACGUGUAAUUUCAUUGUUGGGAAUCGCGAGAGCAUCGGAUGUUACUGCCAGGCUCUUGUAACUCCUCGUACACAUCUGACAGUGCACUCACAGUAACAAAAUUUUGCCUUUUUUUCAGGCAACUGUUUAACUAGGUCGUGUACGAGAAAUAGACAAGCUUGAAGCAUCCAAGCUCCAUACGGUAAUGAAAACUGCGAUUAUGCAGAAGCCGUCAACUGCUUCGGUUAAGGAACACGCUUCUUAGGAAUAUCUUUGUUUCAUGCAUCACUUCCUUGUUUCGUCAUGUAGUGAAUCAAUUCUACAUAGUUUUGACGGUACUAAAGAUGGCACCAGUGGUAUGGAAAAAGCCAUUGCCAGCGUGCUCCCGAUAAACACCUAAAUCCAAAAACAGAAAACAAUAGAGGAAAGAAACAUAUGAGAAUCUUGUAUCGCAUAAAAUGAUUCUCUACCUUUCGUGGUCCAAAUCUUCGUGUUAACUAAGAGAAAAAUGUUAGUAUAAAAAAAGGAAAACUUUUUAUUGCUUAUAUUUUGCACUACAUAACUUGUACUCGUUAUUUUAAAACAAAUAUUUCCUCUAAGAAUAACAAGACGUAUGAUAUACGUAAACAAUCUCGCGAAUAAAGUUUACAAAGAGCUGUCUAUCAGAUUGUGAUUUCUCUUACAAAGUUAGACACUAUAUAUUUUGCUAUUCAGAUAUGCUAUAUUUUCUACACACUAUGCAGUUAUUUUUUAAAAUUGAUUUGUGAGAUCUUCUUGAAUGGAAAAUUUAUCGAACUUUCAAUUUUCAAAGGGUCAGUCUGGGGUAAACUGACUGACAGGAAGAAGAAAGACCACACGCCCUAAAAUUUGCGAAAUUCAGUAAUU